AAAAAAACUGGGUCAUGUGCCACAUACUCACUGAGGGGCACUUAUCUGAUGACACAAGGGUCACAUCACUCAGCACCAUAAUAAUUUUCACACCCCUCCUACUGUAUGGAGAGGGCUGCCCUGCUUAUAAUCUGGAGAAUUCUGAGACAAGAGCUGGCAGAAAGCCCAGGAAUCAAUCAGAAUGAGCCCAUAGAAAGUGUCUCAUCCAAUCUGAG